rnacentral:misc_RNA from 1 species
UCCAGUUAAUCACCGGCAGUCUUCCUAGAGUGCCCACCAUGACGUGAUGGCAACUAAGAAUAAAGGUUGCGCUCGUUGCGGGACUUAACCCAACACUUCACAGCACGAGCUGACGACAGCCAUGCAGCACCUGUGUAAAGGUCCCUUGCGGGAAGUGCACUUUCAUGCAUUGUCCUAAACAUGUCAAGCCUGGGUAAGGUUCUUCGCGUAGCCUCGAAUUAAACCACAUGCUCCACCGCUUGUGCGGGUCCCCGUCAAUUUCUUUGAGUUUCAGUCUUGCGACCGUACUCCCCAGGUGGUGGAUUUAAUGCGUUAGCGUCGGCGCUGGAGGGAUCGACACCCCCAACACCUAAUCCACAUCGUUUACGGCAAGGACUAC